rnacentral:lncRNA from 1 species
AUUAUUCUCUCCUAGCCCUCUGUAUACUGUAUACUUCCUUGCUCAUUCUCUCUCUUUCUGUGACACUAUGAAGAAUUAUGUAAACUUCUGGCUUUCUUGGCAGCUCUCAAGUUUAACGUGACCUCUAAAAUAUACCACAUGACACAAAAUUCAAGGACUCCAUAACACUCCCUAUAAGUAACAUCAUCUGGCUCCCUCAUCACCACUGCAUCCACUCUCCACAGUCUGGGGCUUUGCAGCUAUUGUGUCACACCAAUCCUGUGUACACUGUACACCUGAGAAGGACACUGACAAACCGAUGUGCUAUGCCUCUGCUUUUAUGGAGGGGUCAGAGUAAGAUUGACUUAGUGUAAGUCUUGAUCGAAUUGCUAGGAAAGAAGACCAGCAUGACACUUGGGAUUGCAGCGAGCACUGCGCUCCAGAGCAACUGGCACAAGGGACGUUGACAAACACCUACAUAUGUGACCUGUGUCUAACAUCCCCCUUAGGGAUUUUCAAGAAACAUGAAAAUGGCUUGGGCCCCUUUUGACCUGAGAGCCUUGGUCAACAUCAUGAACGAGCUUCUCUGGUGACUGCUCACAACUCGUUUGGCACUUACUCCUGUUAUGCCACCAUGAAAAUCUAUUCUAUAUUGGUGUGUCCCGUGCCUACAGAAUUCAUGUUUUAGAGAGCUGAAGCUGUCAAACAAGUAAUCCAUAGAUGAAAAUUUCACAUUCUGCAUCUGAUGCUUUCAAUAUCUGAAUUGUUUCAGGCAUCUCAGGGCACUGCCAACCUGGGGCUUCUCUGAAAUAAAUCCCAGUUUGAGGUUUCUCAAGACUUACAUAUUUUGUGAAUUCUGCCAACACAUUUAAGGAGUACAGCUGUAAAAGAGAGCAGAGAAAUGGAACAGUAGCUCUGAGGAAUGUGGAUCAAGACAAGUUAUUUUUUAAUGGGAAAUGCCGUAGCAAUUGUUUAUGCCAAUGAGAAUAAUUCAUAAGAAAAAGGAAGAAGAAAAAAACAAGGAGGAAAUAAAAAGGAAACAAGUGUAAAGCAGCACCAAGAACCAACUUGAGGGAGAAAGAUGAGCAACUUCAGAUGUUAAAGUGUAAAACACCUCACUCAUCUCAGGACCUUGAAGUCUAAUUCACGAUGACAGCAGCAACAACAACACGUCAUUGCGUUAAAUUCCUGAGUUCAAGAGUAUAAUCAGUGGUCCUAAGGAGGUUUUUACGGUGUUACGACAGAGAAUGUGAGUGAAAGGAAAUCUGCCAGUGGAAGAUUUAAGGAACGGUUCUCUGAGCAGGAGACACUUAACAGAAAUUAACUUUCUUCGAUUUAAUGUCAUUUUUUAAUGAUUGACUCUGUUUGAGGUAGGAAGCCAGAGGAGAAUGUGACUUCCUGAUUUCACAAAACUUCUUCCCUUCCAGCCCCGCCUGAGAUCACAGUCAUGUCCAGUGGCACAAUCAACAGCAAGACCAGUGAGAUUCAAAGCAUAGGCAUCUCUCGUGUCCAUCAUUUUCACAAAUUUGAAUUCCUUACAGUUAGUUGUAGUCUCAAUCUCCAUAUAGCAUAGAAUUGUGGUUGAUGUUAAAUAAAUAUU